rnacentral:rRNA from 1 species
UCCUACGGGAGGCAGCAGCAAGGAAUUUUGUGCAAUGGGCGAAAGCCUGACACAGCGACGCCGCGUGGGGGAUGAAAGCUUUCGGGUUGUAAACCCCUUUUCUCAGGGAGGAAUAAUGACAGUACCUGAGGAAUAAGCCACGGCUAACUACGUGCCAGCAGCCGCGGUAAAACGUAGGUAGCAAGCGUUAUCCGGAUUUAUUGGGCGUAAAGAGGGCGCAGGCGGCUUUUCAAGUCGGACGUAAAAUCUCCCAGCUUAACUGGGAGGGGUCAUUCGAUACUGUUAAGCUAGAGUGCAACAGGGGGAGGUAGAAUUCCCGGUGUAGUGGUGAAAUGCGUAGAUAUCGGGAGGAAUACCAGUGGCGAAGGCGGCCUCCUGGGUUGUUACUGACGCUUAAGCCCGAAGGCGUGGGGAGCAAACAGGAUUAGAUACCCUGGUAGUCCAAGCCG